CUCAGUGUGGUGUAGUGGUUUGAACAUUGGACUAUGACUCUGGAGAUCAGGGUUCAAAUUCCCACUCAGC
rnacentral:tRNA from 1 species